rnacentral:rRNA from 1 species
UACGUAGGGGGCAAGCGUUGUUCGGAAUUACUGGGCGUAAAGGGCGCGUAGGCGGCCGAGCAAGUUAGAUGUGAAAGUCCUGGGCUUAACCUGGGGACUGCAUUUGAUACUGCUUGGCUUGAAUUCGGGAGAGGAUAGCGGAAUUCCCAGUGUAGAGGUGAAAUUCGUAGAUAUUGGGAAGAACACCGGUGGCGAAGGCGGCUAUCUGGACCGACAUUGACGCUGAGGCGCGAAAGCGUGGGGAGCAAACAGG